rnacentral:rRNA from 1 species
GAGCAGGUGCGAAAGCAGGUCAUAGUGAUCCGGUGGUUCUGAAUGGAAGGGCCAUCGCUCAACGGAUAAAAGGUACUCCGGGGAUAACAGGCUGAUACCGCCCAAGAGUUCAUAUCGACGGCGGUGUUUGGCACCUCGAUGUCGGCUCAUCACAUCCUGGGGCUGAAGUAGGUCCCAAGGGUAUGGCUGUUCGCCAUUUAAAGUGGUACGCGAGCUGGGUUUAGAACGUCGUGAGACAGUUCGGUCCCUAUCUGCCGUGGGCGCUGGAGAACUGAGGGGGGCUGCUCCUAGUACGAGAGGACCGGAGUGGACGCAUCACUGGUGUUCGGGUUGUCAUGCCAAUGGCACUGCCCGGUAGCUAAAUGCGGAAGAGAUAAGUGCUGAAAGCAUCUAAGCACGAAACUUGCCCCGAGAUGAGUUCUCCCUGAGACUUAAAG